GGGGAUUUAGCUCAGCGGUAGAGCGCUUGCCUAGCGAGCACAAGGCCCUGGGUUCGGUUCCCAGCUCCG
rnacentral:tRNA from 1 species